rnacentral:rRNA from 1 species
GCGUUACUACGUCAAGAGAUGAAAAAAAAAGAAAUGGGGGAUGUACAUCCCGUAGUCGGAAAGUGAGCUGAGAGUCGAAGAUUUUAUGAAGACUAAAGAUGAUGGUUCAACAGGGGACUUGACCCUGCUUCCAUUAAUCAGUACCGCAGACGACUUUGUCCUCCGCUGUUCAUGUCCAGCAAGUACGUGCCGCUCCCGCUCUUCUUGUGGCACACCUCCGUACCUCGGGGAGGAUUGAUGCUGCAGCACUUGUUCGAGAAGCUCCUUCUCUCCUGGUUCCAUGCGUGGUGAUUUGGAUAGGUGCCUCCUUUCUCCAGGUACUACAUGGGACUUAGUGUGGUUAAAGAUGACUAAUAAUGAGAGAUCAUAUUUUUUGCGAGAAUAUAAUACCCUGCUUCCUUCAUAAAGAUUUGAAACAAGUGUACUAAUUGUGACGUUGUCCUUACCGGCCUCCCCAGAGAGCUCCUCUUUCCACGUCGCGAACGAGUUCUGGACCCUCUACCUCUACUAGGUGUUCCACGCGGGGCUGCUGGUCUUCUCGCAGGUGAGGGUCCCUAAGUGGCGCUCGUGGUUGCCCUACUUCGGAGACUGCGCCUUCCUCACCUGCCGGUAGCCGCCGAUGUUGCGCAAGGACCGCUGGUUUGACGGCGGCCUCGUGGCGUAGAUGCUGGGCCUGCUCCUCUGCCAACUGAGGCCGUACAGCUGGAAGGAGUGCCGCAAGGGGUCCCCGAAGCGGUAGCUCCACGAGCUGCACAUGUCGCCGGGCGGCUCCCAGCGGAAGUUCAAGGCCGUGACCCCCAUGUACCUCCCGGGCAAGUUCCCCGUGGGAGGAGUGCCGGUCGCGCACCUCAAGAAACCCCAGACGUAAAAGGUGCAACUACUCCUCUACUUCCACCUCUUCCGCCUCAUGAAGAUGCUCGCGCCGUUGAAGGAGCGUUCGAAGAACUCGCGCGGACGACGACGACGACGGUGUAGCCGAAGUCCAACGGGACACUACUCUCCUUUGACUUCGUGGUUUCUUUGUACAGCGAUUAUAGUAGUUACGGAACCUACUGGUCGAAGUCUAAAGUUUAACCGAAAACUAAAGUACAGCACUGUAAUGUUACAAACUUAUUUCACCGAAUAAUACAAACCAUGUUUGUAGCGAAGCCCACACAUCCACAUUCUUCGGGUUGAACUAAACCUGUAGUGAUAGCCUUCUCGAUGUACUUUUACUGAGCUAGUAGUGGUUUCUUAGACUAUUUUUUCUCGGAUGAAUAAAGGCUCGA